AACGAACGCUGGCGGCAUGCCUAACACAUGCAAGUCGAACGAGACCUUCGGGUCUAGUUGCGCACGGGUGCGUAACGCGUGGGAACCUGCCCUUAGGUUCGGAAUAACUCCCCGAAAGGGGUGCUAAUACCGGAUAAUGUCUUCGGACCAAAGAUUUAUCGCCUUUGGAUGGGCCCGCGUUGGAUUAGCUAGUUGGUAGUGUAAAAGCCUACCAAGGCGACGAUCCAUAGCUGGUCUGAGAGGAUGAUCAGCCACACUGGGACUGAGACACGGCCCAGACUCCUACGGGAGGCAGCAGUGGGGAAUAUUGGACAAGGGGCGAAAGCCUGAUCCAGCAAUGCCGCGUGAGUGAUGAAGGCCUUAGGGUUGUAAAGCUCUUUUACCCGGGAUGAUAAUGACAGUACCGGGAGAAUAAGCUCCGGCUAACUCCGUG
rnacentral:rRNA from 1 species